AAAAUAUAAAAUGGGCGGAGUUGUUUCAGCAGUCGAAAAAUGAUGUUUAACACAUUUUGACAUUAUGACAUCAGUUAAGCUUGAGGGAAAAUUCACCACCCUUGCACAGGUUGAAGGACUGCCAGAUGUUUUCACAUCGACAAAUUUUACUCUCCUGAAAUCAAGGUGGGUCUCCGAUGAUGAAGUGUCAGUUUGUCAGUGGUGUAAAAAUAAAUUCAAUCAACUCAGAAGGAAACAUCACUGCAGACAGUGUGGUAAUGUGUUCUGUAGCAAGUGCUGCAAUGAAAAGAUGCCCCUUCCACAGCUUGGUUUAGAGGACCCAGAGAGGGUGUGUGAAUAUUGUCGUCCAGUAACAGAGUUCAUUACAAAAUCAUGGUCCCCCCAUCAGAAUUUCAAAUCAGAGGCUGCAGUCAAUCUUGUGAAUCAGUGUGGAGAAAUCUCAGGACUCUGCAAGGUUGUUGAGCUUGGUGGAGUUCAAACAUUGAUAUCUCUGGCAAAGAAUGAGAGCCCUGUGAUUCAGGGUAAGGUAAUUUCUGGCCUGCAGAUUCUGUCCACACAUCAACCGCUGCACCGCUACCUGGCAGAGGCAGGCGCCAUCAAGGCCAUCUGUAGCAUCUUGACCAAGGCAAAUAUGUCCUAUGAACAAACACUGGUGGAAGGCAUAAGCACUUUGAAAAUAUUUUGUCGACUCCCAGAAUUAAAGAGUAAAGCUUUGGAGGAUGGUGCUCUCGAACCUGUUUUGCGGUUGAGCUGUACAUCCCAUUGUAAUACAGUGUCUCUCGUAGCAGUGAGUACGCUCAGCCUGAUCGCCGAGGAGAUGAGUACACACACCAAGAUCCUAGAGAGUCCACUCAGUGUCCUAACCUCGGUCUGCUCACUGGCAAGCUCAGAGGACGAACAGCAAUUACAGACUAGUGUUAAAUAAAGAUGCAAGAAGUCUCCUUAAAAACUCUGUGUUUCCUGUCUCUGGGCUCAAACUGGCAGAAGCACAGGAUUAUACAGGAAGAUUUCACGGCUGGUCGAUCACUUCAGAAAGCCAUCAGAGGAAGCCCUCGUAACCAGCAGGUGCUCUGUAAUGCGGCCUGUCUCAUCGCUAACCUGGCAACCAGCAACGAGGACCAGGGAGGACUGCAGGACUUGUUGGACGGGCUGGGGGAAGUGCUGAGGAAGGACAACAACAACCUUGACCUUCACUCUCAUGUCGCCAGAGGUCUGGCCAACUUUGCCAGAUUCCAACAAAAUGCCAGCAAAAUAAAAAGCCUGUUGCCGUUGGUGAUAUUCAAAUGUCUUAAAUCAAACAGCAGCCAUGUCAAGAUGCAUGCAAUGAGAGCCAUCUUUAACGUGAUGUCUAUCAAUCCGUCUGAUACAUGCAGUGAACUACUCAGAGAUGGGGCGGGGGAACUGCUGGAGGGACUGUCCCGACUGAAGGGGCUGACCACUGCCAUACAGGAUGCUCUACUGGCCCAAGCGCCAGACCUCGUCAAGCCAAUGUAACCAGCCUCCAUGUCAAUAAUCACCUCCUGUAUACAUAGCUUAAUAUUGUUAUUUUAGAAACCUUUUAUGAUGGAUAAAAUUUUUAAAUUCUGGUGCAUACUCUUUUAAUUCUUGCAAUGUAUUAUGAACCUUUGUUUUUGCAUAAAAUGUGAUUUCAUAAAGUGACAAAAAAAAUUAU
rnacentral:misc_RNA from 1 species